UCGUACUGGAUGGUCUGGCAGUUUCACACGUAAAAAGAGAAUUUGAUUUAUAUUUUCCCAGGACAUUUGGCAACUUUAACUUAAAAUAAACAUGACAAGAAAGAUAUGAACUGAACAAGACUGACAUCAUCUUGACUAAAGAUAUUGUUGGAACAUUGAAGCAGGGCAGCAACGUGGUUCUCCAAAAGAGAAAAGAGAAGGAAACUUUUCCAGUGAAAAUUAUGAAGCUUGGUGACGCCGAUAAACUCGCUAAAUCAAAAGCAGAGGUGGAGAGACAGCAGAUCAAAAGUGACGUUCAGUAGAAAAGAAAAAUGAAGGCAAAUGUCAUCGCACAGCUCCCUUCGUCGCAAUCGCCCGACUCAGCUGAUCACAGUAGAGCCGUUUAGCAGUCCUUCUACCUCGGAACAUCUAUUGUUAAUGGGCACAAUAAACAUAUAGGGGAGGUACUUUGAUGGGCUUUUCCUAUUUUCAAGAAUUAUUCCCCAGGACAAAACUACUGCAGUUAAAUAGGGGACACUUACUCCUACCAACAUGAGGUGCAAUUGUUUUGGGGAUCUGUAACAGGGUCCUGUGUUAAAUGUGUGGGUAGUCACUGGAAAAUACUGACACAGACACAGAGCAUUGGUGUUGAUACGCCGCACAGGCACGCAGGUUUAAUUUUCAACACAGGUGCUGACACUAGGGUACCAGCAAUGGUAGCCUUAGUGUCACAAUUAAUAAAGAAACGAAAACAAAACAAGCUAAAAAUAAAAGUUUGCCACUCAAAACGGCAAGCACUAGUCCCACUAACAGGAAUGUCCUGCUCCAGGAACCUGCUACUCUACGCAACCCUCUCUAUACUGUGUUGGGAUCAACAUCCCCUAAACUGACCUACUUCUGUUCUUUUGCUUCCGAAUUUCCAGCCUCCCAGCGACUCUAGUCUGUUCCAACGGUUCUGGCUGGGCAAGCGCCUUCACAGGUACAGUUGAAGGGUUCCGUAAUAAUAGUUCAAAACAAGCCCAACCCAUUUCACAAGGUGUAUAUGCACGUCAUUUUUUCUAAUGACAUGCAUAUACAUUGACACCAGUCAAUCACCAAAACCACUCCUACAACCAUUUUUAACUGUUGAAGUCACGUCACCUAUUACAAAAAAACCUGUGACUCUCAAAAAAUGAAAGUGACUCUCAAUUCCCAAGCCCAAUUCCGCUUAUUAUAAACAGACUUGGUUACUGUGGCCCCAAACUGUGGCUCAACCGCUUUUUGAGCUCCGUACAACAUUUCAGGGCACGUCCCCCAGCCAAUCCGAUCAUCCUGAUCCUAUCAAAAUAAGGUGUUAUUGUUUUAGGGACUUGAUGGACACACUUAAAAUAUAAGGGAGGUACUUUGAUUGGCAUUUUCCUUUUUCAAUUUAAUAGGGGACUAUGACAGAGAAAGAAUGAAUCUUGGUUAUAAAUCUCCCUCCUGACCUGUGAGAGCACUGUAUAAAUGGAACAGUGUCCCCGGGACUGGUUGGUUUGGCAAUUCAUUCCAGGGAAAGGUGGAAGUCGGCCAUCUAGAUAGGGGGCGGAGCCACAGUAAACCAAGUCAUCACCCCAGACAGGAAGCGAUGUGGAAAUCGCGGAUUGGAGGAAAAGCGAUUGCACUUGCUAACCAAGGGGGCGUGGCUGAAGGUACAAAAGUGGAUGUGGCCGAGCGAACUGCUCCUUUGUUAUGGUUGUGAGAGAACCGCUGAAGGACCGGAAAGUUACCGUGAGUGUUUCAUGUUUGUUUGUUUGCCCUGCUAUGUACAGACAGGGAUUGCAGUAAUUACACACCGGCCAUGAAUUUUGUAGAUGUUAAAGGUUUGCUGACAUAAGGGGGUUUAACAGUAGAACACAGGAGAAAAUCUGUCCCUGGAGAUGUCCGGGAGAAGGGUCCAAAAUACGGGACACUCCCGGUGAAAACAGGAGAGGUGACAGGUCUGUUAUUAGAUGGCUAACACAUUCUGGGAGCUGUCGCUAAAGGCUACUAACCCGGACAGUGCUGCACUAUUGUACACGAAUAAAUUGUAUUUAACCACUUGCACCAAAGCACUCACUCUGGACUUUUGACCGUGUUUGUGUUCUGUGUGUGUUUAUACCGUGUUUAUUAUUUCGGGACUGUACCCCCGUGGUUUGUGCAGUACACAUUGCUGUGUAUUGCCAGGAAUUAUUAUUUACGGUCGCCUAAAUGACCUGGAUUAAAAACAAAUAAAUAAAUUGUUUGGA